ACCUUCCUUGUUUAGGGGAGCGGAAUGCACCUAUGAGCGUUUAGUGAGGUCAUUCAUGCUGGCACCUAUAUAAUUCCCGCACCCAUUGCUAAAUGCAUUCGAGUGCAAUUUUUGGAGGG